AUUUAAACAGAAUUUCAAAAUAAUGUGCUUCAGAAAUAACAAUGAGUUUUGGCUUCUUAAUGCAUACAUGAUUAAGAACUAUUUUAAAGCCGGAACAGGCCAAUGAAGCUUUGAUGGUCUUUGAACUCUUAAAAUAAUGACUGUCUUGGCAUGGACGGGGCAGGCUGAUCCUUGGGCUGCUUGCUGUGGUCCAGAGAGCUUACCACCUGUG
rnacentral:lncRNA from 1 species